AAAUUAUCACGCGAUUAGGCAGAAUAAAUAUGAAGAAAAUAAAAUUAAUUGCAACGAUAAGAUAACAGUAUGCACAUAUUACGAUCGACCAAAAUAAAAAUGUUAUUUUCUCAAGAGCUUCCAAUCUCGUUUUUUAACAUCCAAAACAGUUUGCCGUAGACGAGUAUGUAUCUAGUCACGAAAAAAUAGAGCAAACGUGCACCACAUUCAUACUCGUCUAUGGAAUCGCCUUUUUGUUCUGGCCAUUUGAAACGCGUUAAACCUUGAAACACAGUGGUUCUCGAUAGGAUUUUCCUUUGAAAAAAUUCGAUUCGUCUAAACGUAUGCAUGUCGUCGAGGAGCACACCGUCAUCUUCAUAAAACGGAUAUAACGCGUCCUCUGUAAAUUCGCUUACUUCUCUUCAACGAGAACAAGAUUGAUACCAGAUACAAAUUAUAUAAGCGAGGAAGAAGGAAAAUAGGAAAGGAAAAGAAUAACAAGAAGAUCGGAAGCUCGAAGAUUCGUGACAGCUUGUGAUAUCUUGUGUAAACGGACGUGGAUCAUUUUAACGAAUAUAUCGAGAACCACUGUUAUCUCGCAGAACCGUCGAUGAAACUGCGAUGUUAAUACCGAACGUGCUUAAUGAGUGUGGAUCUAGUCACAACUUUAUCGACUGUGCACUAGACCAUCACUCAUUCUGCACAUCCAGAAAUCGAUGUCUUCUUCUUUCCUCCGCUUGGUACACCUUCUUCCUUGCUUUAAUCCAUUUAUAAUUUUUGGAUCUAGCGCGCAUCCCCGAGAUAACUCGGGAAUUAUUUCGCGAUCGUUCGUUGCACUCUCGAUCGGCCGUAACAACGCCACACAACAUAGAGAGCACGAAAAUGAGGAGGGGGAGGAUAUUCGACGCGUAACCAUUAUAACUCGAAUAAUAACGAUGAACGGCGAAGACAACAACAGCGGUCGAAGAAAAGGGUGACUUAUUUCGCGAGCCAACAACAACGAAGCGAGGUUAAACUGCCGUUAACCUAAAGACUUUUAGCACUCGUUUUAUUACAUAUUAUUUCAAUCAAUUUCAAAGCAUUUCUUCUCCCAUGACUUUGCAUCGAACGCGAUUCCGUACGACUCGGUAACGAUCGGCUACCUUCGCUACUGAUCGACAGAAAAUCCCGACGAUUACGUUCUAAAGUCGUCGUCGAAUAAAUAUAAUAAACCUUCGGAGGAUUUCGGGAGAAACGAUGUUUCGUUGAAUGGAUCCUGUGUACCCUUUUAAUGUGUCUUUUGAGAAAUUUCGCGUCUGACGGGUCUAUACAUAAAAAAAAAAAAUGGGAAGAGAGACGAAGGAAACGAUUUCGAGGAUGCAGGAAACCAACGACUUUGAAUCAAAGCCGACGAAGAAGAAAAGAAAGAAACAAGAGAAAAAGAAGAAAAGAGAUUUCACACGGCUGCGAUUUCGGAUCACGAAAUUGCGAACGACCAGCCGAUGAUCUUCUUCUCCGUAUUUCGCAACGUCGAUCGACGAUUUAUGCUUGAGAUCGGGCGAAAUAAAGAUUUUGGAAAAGCCUACGUUUUGGAAAAGAGUACGUACGAAAGAAACGACUGACUCUCGUUAAAUGAUCACACGAGAACCGACCAUCAACUUGACUGAAGAAUAGCCUUAUGGACGAGCGUGGAACCAGUGCCAGGGACAGUAGCAGUGGCCAGGGCUGUACUAUGCGAUCAAAUUGCCUCGGUUAUUCGCCCAAUAACACUCAAUGAUUUCUGUACUAUCGAUUUUUGUUAUUUUCUAUUAAAAUAGAGCAAAUUUUGUCUUGUUUUCGGCAUAGUUGUUGAAGUUGCCACAUAGAUAAAAACAUAUUUCAUAAAUAUUUGAAGUUAUAUAUAUAAAUGAAAAAAUAAACAAUUUUAAACGAA